rfam:Prunus persica cultivar Lovell chromosome G5, whole genome shotgun sequence.
GCAAGGAGAAGAAUUCAUGUAUGUCAGUACCCUGAUAACAGUGUAAUGUUACUGUGAAUCCCGACAGGGUUUGAUUGC